AAAUAUAAAGCAAUUGAACGGUUUUCACAUUGAUUCACAGAUUGAAAUUAAAUUCUGAGAUCAUUGUGAAAACUGAUUUUAUGCUAAACA
rnacentral:sRNA from 1 species